GCCCACCAAGGCAUCGACGGGUAGCUGGUCUGAGAGGACGAUCAGCCACACUGGGACUGAGACACGGCCCAGACUCCUACGGGAGGCAGCAGUGGGGAAUCUUGCGCAAUGGGCGAAAGCCUGACGCAGCAACGCCGCGUGGAGGACGAAGGCUUUCUGAGUUGUAAACUCCUUUCAGCAGGGACGAUAGUGACGGUACCUGCAGAAGAAGCACCGGCCAACUACGUGCCAGCAGCCGCGGUGAUACGUAGGGUGCAAGCGUUGUCCGGAUUUAUUGGGCGUAAAGAGCUCGUAGGCGGUUUGAUUAGUCGGGUGUGAAACCUCCAGGCUCAACCUGGAGCCGCCACUCGAUACUGUCAUGACUAGAAUUCGGUAGGGGACCACGGAAUUCCUGGUGUAGCGGUGAAAUGCGCAGAUAUCAGGAGGAACACCAGCAGCGAAGGCGGUGGUCUGGGCCGACAUUGACGCUGAGGAGCGAAAGCGUGGGGAGCGAACAGGAUUAGAUACCCUGGUAGUCCACGCCGUAAACGUUGGGCACUAGGUGUGGGGACUAUUCAACGGUUUCCGUGCCGCAGCUAACGCAUUAAGUG
rnacentral:rRNA from 1 species